GACGGAGGUGGCAAGCGUUGCUCGGAUUCAUUGGGUGUAAAGGGUCUGUAGGCGGUCCUGUAAGUCAGAUGUGAAAUCCCACCGCUCAACGGUGGAACUGCAUUUGAAACUGCAGGACUUGAGUGCGGUAGAGGUGAGGGGAAUUCCCGGUGUAAGGGUGAAAUCUGUAGAGAUCGGGAGGAACACCAGUGGCGAAGGCGCCUCACUGGGCCGCAACUGACGCUGAGCGACGAAAAGCUAGGGG
rnacentral:rRNA from 1 species